UACAGAGGGUGCGAGCGUUAUUCGGAAUUACUGGGCGUAAAGCGUGCGUAGACGGUCAAGUAAGUCGGGUGUGAAAGCCCCGGGCUCAACCUGGGAAUUGCAUUCGAGACUGCGUGGCUAGGGUGCGGAAGAGGGAAGCGGAAUUUCCGGUGUAGCGGUGAAAUGCGUAGAUAUCGGAAGGAACACCAGUGGCGAAAGCGGCUUCCUGGUCCAGCACCGACGUUCAGGCACGAAAGCGUGGGGAGCAAACAGG
rnacentral:rRNA from 1 species